AUGGCUAUCAACCGAGUAUAUUUUUUCAUUGCAAUUCUUUGUAUUGCUUUAGUUUUGCAUCCAGGUGGUGCAAGAAGAUAUGAAGAAAUUAUGAGUGAUGAUAUCACGACUGAUUGUUUUGACACACCAGAAUGUCCAUUAUCUAAUGAAAGUUGUUUACAGAGAUGUGAACGACGAGAAAACAUGGCUAUCAACCGAGUAUAUUUUUUCAUUGCAAUUCUUUGUAUUGCUUUAGUUUUGCAUCCAGGUGGUGCAAGAAGAUAUGAGUGA